AAAUCUCCUCUCCAGAAGCAGAGGGAGCCGGGGCUCCGACGCGCUCAGCGUCGGGCUGUCUGCCUCUCCCUAGAGGCCAAGUGAAUUUGAAAUGGCAAAAGUCACAGCCGGAGGCCCAGCACUAGGAGAUUCCUCCGGCUGCGGGAAAUCUUCCUGUACCUGCUGAAGCUGCUGCGUUCCUCAGAGGCGCUUGGUCUGCCGUGGGAAGCUGCACCUCUGCAGUCCCCAAAACCAAAAUCAAACCUUAAAAGAGCCAGACUGAGAAGCCAGUCACCACGUAAGACAUCUGGACCACCUUCAGACUCGCAUGCUGUGAGGAAGCCCAUGCUUACUAUGUGUAGAGGAUACAUGGAGAAGGAAAGAGAUGCCUGGCCAGCUCCCUGCUGUUUCAGCCAUGUGAGUGAAGAAGGCACCAGACUUGUGAGUGGAGACACUAACUUGGAUGUCCAGCCCAGCUGAACCUUCAGGCAGAGGUGCUGAGCAGCUAAUUGGAGGGGAUAGUAUGAGCCUCCAAAGAUUAGGGAAGAAAAUUGCAGUUGAAGAAAACUUGCUUUGGUUCAAUGCAAAAAUAAUGGGAUGAAUGGCAUGCUGAAAUAUCAUAUGACUUACGAAAAUGAUGAAUGGUUUAUUGAAUCUACAUAUGUGGAACCCAUGAAUGGGAGUCGGAGAAGGGGGCAACUGUAUACGCAAAAAGCUAUCAUAAUUGCCAAAAUAGUGAUAACAAUGUUGAAACACUACUGGGAUUACUACUGUUAAUGACUACCAGUGAUCAAGCACCUCCCCUGCCCCAGGUACUGUCCCAAGUACUUUGUAAAUACUGCCUUUUAUGAUAUUUAUAACAAUUCUUUGUGGUCAGUCCAACUGUCAUGCCUGUGUUAGAGGUGAGCCUCUGAGACCCAAAUGCACACAGCUAGUUAAUGGAGUAGCUAGAAUUCACAUCUAGGUC
rnacentral:lncRNA from 1 species